UGUUGGUGAAGGACGUUUCUUGGGAGAGACUGACUAUGACCAGAAAUGUCAUUCUUGAUGCGGAGCAUCUGUUGCCCUUACUCAAAGAGUGUCAGCUAUAUUCUACUUUGCAUCAUCCAAAAAUUUGACAAGCAUGUCAUCUAUAUCUCCAUGCAAAUCACUGAAAACAGUUUUGAAGAACACAGAUCUCUGGGAAACUACAAUAAAGACUUUUCUUCAUAUUGAUCUCAACAAUGACUUGUGGUCUGUGUUACACACCAAGGACAACAUGGCUUCUGAUUUUUCUUCAGUUGAUCUUCACUUGAAUGCUGCCACAGGAGUCAGAAGGUUCCCCUUUGCCAGAGAUCUUCUAGGAAAAGUCAGAUAACCUUCCAUUGAGGAUGUUGUAAAGAUCAUUCUUAUUUCCGUAUUGUUUGUUUUAGGUGGCUUCUGACAGCCUUUCAGACUCUGAGAGUCUAUAAUUCUGUCCAUCAUGCUCCACUUCAUUCUUGUUGAUGACCUGUAAAGCAGACUGCUAUUCCAGCUGCUCCUUCACCUUUUUCUCUAAGAUGCAGGUCAACUUGUACUUCCAGCUCAGGCAACAGUGGCCAUGGCAGAAAGACAAAUAUCACACACUUCAUGUCAGUCAUUGAAAAAUCCUUCUUUCCCUCUAUACUCACAGAAAGGAAGAUCUUCAAAUCUCAGUCCUCUGUUGUUGGUGUUGGGACAAUACCCCUGGUCACCAGUUCCCAUGACAGAUUGUCAUGACACACUAAAACCCAGGUCUCUCUUGACUCCUCCUUCUACUAUAUCACCCUUUUUUACAAUAUCACUGACACUGAAAAUCCAAUUGCCAUCUCCUACAUGGGUGAAAUAAGGUCAUUAACAUGCCAACACAGGCAUUCCUUCACAUGCUGCUAGCAAAGUCAGUUGCUGAUCAUUGUCACUAAGACCAAGAAGGCUGCCACUGCUAAUGUGAAAAACAAAGCUACUGUCCCUAUACUUGAUCAAUACUCAUAGUGAGACCAAAUACUUUAGGAAAAUAUCACAUAUUAGAGCUGGAAGGGACCUCAUAGGUCAUCCAACCUAAUUUUUAUGGAUGAGGAAACUGAGACCCUCAGUUACCCCAAAUCACACUGGGAACAAGUAGUAGAGAUAGGAUUCAAACCCAGGUCCUCUGACUCCAAAUCCAGUGUUCUUUUCCAAUAUGCCAUACUGUCCUGGAUGACCUUCCCCAACUUUAUGCUGUAUGCCUCCUCCUACUUGGUCCAAGACCCACUAUAUCAAGUUGUCCAUCAAGUUUUCUCUCACAUCUAUGGGAGGUUAUGGAAUAUCAUGCCUGCUUAUCAUCUCAAUAGUUCCUUUACUCCUAUUCCCAAGUGAGUGAGUCCCUUUCCAAAGGGAUAUGCCAGGAAUUGGGCAGUGGACUAUAUUCACUGGGAAACUCUCUUUGGGAUUAUUAGUAUGUAAGGGUUUGCAGCCAUAGUAGCCCCUGAGGUAAAAGAAAAAGAAUGCACUCAUUCUUUCUAUAGGGUAUUUAUAACUUAUUCUCAGCUAAGAAAUAUCAAAGCAUUAAGUGUCCCUUGGUAGUCAACAUCCACACCAUUGCAGCUUACCAAAUUCUAUUCAGCCCCAGUUUUUAUGAUAUCCUUGCCUCUUUUCUGUGCACUGCAGAGGAAUCUACACAACUGGUCUCGCCAGUCCCCUUAUGUAUGUAUGUAUGUAUGUAUGUAUGUGUGUGUGUGUGUGUGUGUGUGUGUUAAUGAAACUGACUGACUCAAGAAAAUGAAGGCUUAUUCAUGUUAAUGAGGGAACUGGCUCUGAGUACAUUAUUUAUAUGCUAUCUCUGUUGAUACAGUAACAAGAUACCUAAGAUAAAGCAACUGGGAAGCACAGGUGUCCAGCUUCAGUUGCCUUAGAGACUUCUCUCUACAGAUAUUGUUCUUCCUUCUUUCUUAUAAGUCAUUAAGACAAUGAAACAUGUGCCGCCUCCUUUAAAAGAUUGGUCUAUUUGAAAACAUAUGUAUGGGGGCAGCUA